rnacentral:rRNA from 1 species
CCUACGGGUGGCAGCAGUAGGGAAUAUUGCUCAAUGGGGGAAACCCUGAAGCAGCAACGCCGCGUGGAGGAUGAAGGUUUUCGGAUUGUAAACUCCUUUUGUUAGAGAAGAUAAUGACGGUAUCUAACGAAUAAGCACCGGCUAACUCCGUGCCAGCAGGCGCGGUAAUACGGAGGGUGCAAGCGUUACUCGGAAUCACUGGGCGUAAAGAGCGCGUAGGCGGGAUAGCAAGUCAGAUGUGAAAUCCUAUGGCUUAACCAUAGAACUGCAUUUGAAACUGUUAUGCUAGAGUAUGGGAGAGGUAGGUGGAAUGCUUGGGGUAGGGGUAAAAUGCGUAGAGAGCAAGAGGAAUACUCAUUGCGAAGGCGACCUGCUAGAACAUAACUGACGCUGAUGCGCGAAAGCGUGGGGAGCAAACAGGAUUAGAUACCCGGGUAGUC